UCCCUGGUAGCUCAGCUGGUCAAGAAUCUGCCUUCAAUGCAGGUGACCCCGGUUCGAUCCUGGGUCAGGAAG
rnacentral:tRNA from 1 species